AAUAGAGUGUCUUAGUGAGGCCCUGUUUCCAAAAAAUAAAUAAAAAUUAAAAAUGCCCAGUGAUGAACAAAUGUAAAAAGUAGCCAUAAACAAUACUAAUCAGCACUUUUUGAGUACAAAAUAUGUGCCCAUCAUUGUAACAGGGUUGUUCUUAUCUUUCUGUAAUUAGAAAUUAUUACUAUCCUCAAUUACCAGUUGGGGAAGCUUGGUCUACAAGGUGUAGGAACCUUGGCCAAGUCCCUUUAUGGUCUGUGACCUGGGAAGAGCAAGGAGCAGGCCUGGGCCCAGUGCUUCUCCGUGCUGUGUGACCCACAGGACACUGCAUGCUGCGGUGUGACUGAACCUGGAGACUGGAUCUCAGUGCUUUAUCUUUUCCCUAAUAGCUGAGGAAUUGAGGGCUGGGGUCUCGAGGUUGCCAGCUGGCGUGUCCCACAGCCAGGACGCAGGCCCGAGUCCAUCCGUCAGCCUGCUGCAUCACAGCCUUUUGGUUACCAGGCCCCAUCACUUUCCUGCUCAAACAAAUCCAGACCUGCUUGGGGCCAGGUUGGGACAGAGCACUGUCCUUUCAAGUCCGAAUCCCCCUUACUCCCAUCCUUCUCAAGUGUGGGGAAACAGGGACUCCCUUGCAGCACCCCAGUACCUGGCUGGCCCUCACCUGGGGCUCCAGGUAGCUGACCUCCUUCCCGAUGAUGUCAGGGAUAAGGGCAAGCUCAGCUUCCCAAGGGUCUGUGUCAGUGUUGUGGUAUCAGAUGACCUAGUGCUAAGUGCUUCACCUCUGGACAUUUAGCUAUUCCUGGUAAGAAACCCAUGAAGAGAACUGUUAUUGUCUACAUGUCAUAGAUUAGCAAUCAGCAUCUCGAAGAGGCUAAGUAGCUUUCAAGGUGACACUGCUAAUUAAUCAGUGGGCAGUUCAGGGUAAUGAUGAUAACACACAUGCUCCUUCUGCUCUGUUCCUUCUAAUAGCACUGCAUUCCUUCUGUGUGCCUGCUACUGCGUGCUUUUCAUACUUCUCAACCUCAUAUACCAACUUUUUUCUUUUCACUGUGUGAAGAACACAAAAAUCCUCAAUGUCACCAGAGUAUCACUGGUAUGAGCUGUUUCCCCUCUGCUGCGACACCCUGCCUCAGAGCCGGCCGCCUAUGGACUGAAACCUCUGCACACUGUGAGCCAAAAUAGACCUCUCCUCCUUUAACUUGUGUCAGGAAGUGCAUCCCAGCAACAAGGAAGUGACUAAGACGAUCCUCAUCGACAAUUAAAGGAGAAGCUUAUAGAAAGGUUAAAAUGGAAAGUGCUAUCUUUCCAGAUCCUGCUGUGCUGGUGAGGGAGGAAGAUCUUGUGAUCAGACGUUGUGCAGUCCUAGUGUGGGUAUCAGCUUUCCCGGAGGCAAAGGGUCAGUCUUCACCUGCUGCCUUGCUUUCUCUGCUGCUGUGUACCCAUUGCUCCUACAGAGGGCCUGGACUGAAGGACCCUAGUUAGCAAGACAGACUCCAUAUUGCUGCUGAGCGACCCACCUGCCUGGCCUUUAGAUGAACUCAAAAGGAGGAAGCUUAGGAACCUCCUCCCCUUAGAGAGUCUCUUAGAAACAACAAUUAAUCAACUAUUGUUUUACAGAUGUUCUAAAGACAGGAUGUUCCGCUUCUGUACCUUUUGCUUGCUUUGCUAGUUCUGUCCCAUAGUGGGGACUAGAAACUGCUGGCCUCAAAGGUAUAUAAAAUAUGUUAAUCUCUCCCAGUCUGGGCUCAAGUCUGAUGCUCGGCUCAGUCCUGGCAGGUAAUAAACUCCUGUGUGGAUUUAA